GAUGAACGCUAGCUACAGGCUUAACACAUGCAAGUCGAGGGGUAACGAGAGGAAAGCUUGCUUUCCUUGUCGACGACCGGCGCACGGGUGAGUAACGCGUAUCCAACCUGCCCCCAACUAGGGAAUAACCUUGCGAAAGUAAGACUAAUACCCUAUAAUUUCCUCAGAUGACAUCUGACGAGGAAUAAAGAUUUAUCGGUUGUGGAUGGGGAUGCGUCUGAUUAGCUUGUUGGCGGGGUAACGGCCCACCAAGGCAACGAGCAGUAGGGGUUCUGAGCGGAAGGUCCCCCGCAUGGGAACGGAGACACGGUCCAAACUCCUAGGGGAGGCAGCAGUGAGGAAUAUUGGUCAAUGGGCGGAAGGCUGAACCAGCCAAGCAGCGUGCAGGAUGACGGCCCUAUGGGUUGUAAACUGCUUUUAUACAGGAAUAAAGUUAGCCACGUGUGGUUAUUUGGAGGUACUGUAUGAGUAAGGACCGGCUAAGUCCGUGCCAGCCGCCGCGGUAA
rnacentral:rRNA from 1 species